rnacentral:rRNA from 1 species
GAUGAACGCUGGCGGCGUGCCUAACACAUGCAAGUCGAACGAUUAAACCGUCUUCGGACGGAUAUAGAGUGGCGAACGGGUGAGUAACACGUGACCAACCUGCCCCCUACUCCGGGACAACCUUGGGAAACCGAGGCUAAUACCGGAUGCUCCCUCCCCUCCGCAUGGCGGGGAGGGGAAAGCCCAGACGGUAGGGGAUGGGGUCGCGGCCCAUCAGGUAGACGGCGGGGUAGCGGCCCACCGUGCUUU